rnacentral:rRNA from 1 species
CCUACGUGCGGCAGCAGUGAGGAAUAUUGGUCAAUGGACGAGAGUCUGAACCAGCCAAGUAGCGUGAAGGAUGACUGCCCUAUGGGUUGUAAACUUCUUUUAUAAAGGAAUAAAACGAGGCACGUGUGCCUUUUUGCAUGUACUUUAUGAAUAAGGAUCGGCUAACUCCGUGCCAGCAGCCGCGGUAAUACGGAGGAUCCGAGCGUUAUCCGGAUUUAUUGGGUUUAAAGGGAGCGCAGGCGGAGGCACAAGUCAGCGGUAAAAGCGCGGGGCUCAACCCCGCUCCGCCGUUGAAACUGUGUCCCUUGAGUGCGCGAAGGGUAGGCGGAAUGCGUGGUGUAGCGGUGAAAUGCAUAGAUAUCACGCAGAACUCCGAUCGCGAAGGCAGCCUACCGGCGCGCAACUGACGCUCAUGCACGAAAGCGUGGGUAUCGAACAGGAUUAGAUACCCCUGUAGUC